UAAAAACAAAAAAACAAAUUUCUGUUUGACUCACUUUUUCAACGCUUCCACCGUUCUCCAUGAUUCGUUGCCUUCUCAAUUCUUUACGACCAUUCUUCUCCAACGAAUCCAACGAAUCUUCAGAAAACGUACGCGUAAAUCUGAAAUUAU
ensembl:ncRNA R90.12 ncRNA